GUUGUCAGAACGUUUGUGACGAUCCAGAAGCUCCAAUCACCUUUGUCCUGAGGCUACAAUUUGAUCUACCAGCCGUGUUCACCUGUGCGACAUUUGCUCGUGCGCCACUGUGCUGUCUGCAACGUAACCUGGGUACUGCCUUCCGCAAAAAGAAAAUGACGGGCUUGGAUAAGUUUGUGGAGAACGUGUCGGUGUUUUUCAUCGUGCUGGGCUCCGUUGGUGUCGUGUGGGCCUUCAUUUUAAUGGUGUGAUAUGUCUGGAGGGGUGUUACGUUAUUACAGUAUGCUUGGGGCGGGCUCUACUUGUUCCAGUGAUGGCAGCCAGCCAGGGGACCAGCACGUCACGUGAUGCCAUCACGUCACAAUCAUCACGCUGAGGUACUACAGGCUACAUGCUCUCUUCGGAAUUCUUCGGAAGCCCUCGGCUACUUUCGCCAUAUCUUCUCGCCUUCGCCUCUACGUUGCCGAGGACAACAUCAGCACCAGACAGUACAUCAUGUGAACCAUAUGUAUGAACUUUUCCUGACAAUGAACAAUCAUUCCACAACGCCGCUAGGUGGCGCUGCAGCUAUAAGAAUACGACCUCAAACGUGGCUAAGCCUGUAUCUCCCCACAAACCAUUUUCAGUACCUGAAAUCUUUUCCUACGAUGAUUGAAAUAGAUAACGACAGAUCACCAGCAAUAGAGAUCUUGUAAAUUUGGACAUGUCCUCACAACGACAUACGUAAAGUCAUAACUUGCCAUUUUUUCGUUUUGCCUUAAAUCUAUGCUAAUGAUUAUUGCCGGGAAACAAUGUUUACUGUUCGCAAAAUAAUUACAAUAUACAGCAUGAGGGUGGAAGAUAUAUUAUGCGCACUACAGUAUCUCAAUGCAAAGAUUCAUUUGUCUCAAUUAUACAUGUGUCUAUAAA